rnacentral:rRNA from 1 species
UGAGGAAUUUUCCGCAAUGGGCGAAAGCCUGACGGAGCGACGCCGCGUGGGCGAUGAAGGUCUUCGGAUCGUAAAGCCCUGUCGGGGGAGAAGAACGCCUUCUCGGUAAAUAAUCGAGAAGGUAUGACGGUAUCCCCAAUAGGAAGCUCCGGCUAACUACGUGCCAGCAGCCGCGGUAAUACGUAGGGGGCAAGCGUUAUCCGGAAUCACUGGGCGUAAAGAGCUCGUAGGCGGUUUGGUAAGUCGCAUGUUAAAGACCCGGGCUUAACCCGGGGAAUGCACGCGAUACUGUCGAACUUGAGAGCGGGAGAGGUAAACGGAGUUCCAGGUGUAGCGGUGAAAUGCAUAGAUAUCUGGAAGAACACCAGUGGCGUAGGCGGUUUACUGGACCGUUUCUGACGCUGAGGAGCGAAAGCCGGGGGAGCAAACGGG